UUGCAGCCUGUGCAAAUGCAACCGAGCAGCUAAAAAUCCCAAACUGCUUGAUGAAAAUACUCAACGAAUGCCUAACUACAGUAAUAAUUAGACAGAACAGGCCAGUAUCUGCUUGCAGAUAUGGUUCCAAUGAAUUCCACAAUUCAACUAGUUGAAAUUUAUGCUAGAAAAAGAGGAACUAAAACCUUUUGAUAAGCCACAUUGGAGACAAAACUCACACUAGUUCCUAAUAUCAAUUUCUUAGCCCCAUCGUUUUCCUCUUUCACUCUCAACUCCUCUCUGUGUAUUUUAUAACCCAUCCUACUUCUGCCUCCCUCUCC